rnacentral:rRNA from 1 species
UACGGGGGGGGUAAGCGUUGUUCGGAAUUACUGGGCGUAAAGGGCUCGUAGGCGGCCAACUAAGUCAGACGUGAAAUCCCUCAGCUUAACUGGGGAACUGCGUCUGAUACUGGAUGGCUUGGAUCCGGGAGAGGGAUGCGGAAUUCCAGGUGUAGUGGUGAAAUGCGUAGAUAUCUGGAGGAACACCGGUGGCGAAGGCGGCAUCCUGGACCGGUAUUGACGCUGAGGCGCGGAAAGCUAGGGGAGCAAACGGG